UGCAAAUGUCGAUUAUGAAAUAAUCGAUAAUUUGUUCGUGCACUUCCGACAAUUUUUCAGUUCUGGUGCGGAGUUUCUUCUGAAAUAUUUAGGUGUAAUUUGCUGAUGUUCUUCGGCAAAUGACGCGUCGAUCUCUUUUUCCAUCUUUCAGAAACGCAAUUCAACUCCUUUGGGUAUAUCUCCACGAAACGUUUAGCUUCUAGCUUUGCAAUAAUUAAAUAAUUCUAAGAAAGAAUAUAUUGAAAGUGGUGAAUAGUAUUCGGUGUCAAGUUUUUAAAGAAUAACUUUUCAGGUUUUCUUGAUUCCUUAAAGUUAAAAAUAAUGGCUAAUAAUAAUUAUGCCGGAUUUAGCUAUGGUGGAACUCAAUAUGGUGCCGGUGGUGCGGGAUACAAUCCAGGGCAGGUAUCUUAUCCAGCUGUAACAAACGCCACUUAUGCUAACGCUGCCGCGUAUCAAUCUGCUGCUGCUGCUGGUCAGGGUGGUUAUGCAGCUGCUGGCGCUUCGGGAGCUGGCGGCUAUGCAGGUUACGGCGACUACGGUCGCGCACUUCCUGCAUAUGACGCAUCGAAAACAUUUUAUCAACAAGCGUCAGCUAGCUACAACACGGCACCAGCAGCUACAGUUAGUAAAACGCAUUAUUCGGCUCCACCCGUUAAAAAUAUAAACGCUGGUUCCAAAGCCGCUGGUGUUAAGGAUAAAACCAAUGGAGCUGCUAAAGCUGUAGCCACUCCAGCAGCUACCACUGCUACAGCUGUUAAUGCAUACAGUAAUUACGAGUCGGCUCUUUAUAGUGCAGCAUCAAUGUAUGUUGCUCAACAGCAACACCAAACCGGCCCUGUUAAACCGAAUGCUAAUGGUGCCUCAGCCAAUAGUUGGCAGUAUAGAGCACCAAAGGGCGCUGCAGCUGGUGGUGCAAAUGUAGCACGUCCACGCACCAAGCCACCGCCACGCCCGCAACAACUGCAUUAUUGUGAGGUAUGCAAGAUCUCAUGUGCAGGACCUCAAACCUAUCGUGAGCACUUGGAAGGUCAAAAGCACAAAAAGCGGGAGGCAUCAUUGAAAAUGCAGGCCACUGCACAGUCUGCAGCUCAAAAUCGUGGUAAUAAUUACCACUGUGAGCUUUGUGAUGUUACGUGCACUGGUACCGAUGCCUAUGCUGCGCACGUACGUGGCGCAAAACAUCAAAAAGUGGUUAAACUUCAUCAGAAACUUGGCAAACCAAUACCCCCAGAUGAGCCAAAGAAGUUAUCAAAAAUUAAUUUUGUCCCAGCCAGUGGUUCUGCUGAAACUACAGAGAACGUUGAAGGCGAAAAUACUGGUGUCAACGAAAACGAUAAUCAAGAUGAUAAUGCUGCAUGCGGAGAAAACACCGAUAAUAUUAAACCAGUUGGUGGCGAGUAUAUUGAAGAAAUUAAAGAUGAUGAAGGGAAGAUCCUAAGCUUCAAUUGUAAAUUAUGUGAUUGUAAAUUUAACGAUCCAAAUGCAAAAGAGAUGCACAUGAAAGGCCGAAGACAUCGUUUACAAUAUAAACGGAAAGUCCAACCGGAUUUGGUGGUCGACUUUAAACCCACUCCACGUCAAAGACGACUAGCAGAAGCACGUGCCCAACGUGCUCUUAUGCAAUCGCACCGAGGUGGUAAUGUUGGUUUCGGUGAUGAACAUGAGAAUAGUGGCGGAAUGUAUUGGGAUGAACAACGUCGACGUGCACAGUACGAUGACGAAUACGAUUACAGCAACUGGUUGGCACGUAGUUUUGCUGGUGCUCAACGUGGAUUUGGUGGUCGCAUGGGUAAUGGUCCACCACCAUUCUUUGGAAUGAUGCCUGGUGGGGGUGGAAGUAUACGUCGUCCUGAGAGUACCGAUGAUCGUCAUGCAAUUGCUCGUCAUGCAGAGAUUUAUCCCAAAGAGGAAGAGUUGCAAACAAUUCAACGCAUCGUAUCACAUACUGAACGUGCUCUUAAAUUUGUCUCGGAUAAACUUGCUGAGAAUUCAGAUGAAAAGGGACCAGCUAAUAAAAAAGAAAAACUAGAGAAUGCUCAAGUAAAGGACGGGCGCGAUAAUCAAAUGUUAUCAUUCCAAAAAGAGGCUGAUAGCGGAAAUGUACGCAUUCUUAAGGGCGUAAUGAGGGUCGGAUUUUUGGCCAAAGGUCUUUUAUUACAGGGUGAUAAUGCAGUUGAAUUAGUGGUUUUAUGUUCUGAAAAACCAACAGUUGGAUUACUAAAACGUGUGGCCGUUGAAUUGCCAUCCAAAUUAAAGGAAGUGGCAGCUCUUCACCGGAUAUACAUGCCAUUGUCCCAUUGAGAUUGGUUAUUUGAGGUUUGUGAACAGGACAUUCAACUUCACUCUACUUCACUUUUAUUGUGGUGCGGGUACGCGUACGGGUACUCCUCCUUCAUAGUAUCUUUCUUUUAUUGCGCUGUUUGUUGCUGGACUGGAAAUUGAACGGCGAAAAUCCAGUUGAAUAUGUUGUUGAAGUUGUGGCUCAAGACUCAGCUGUCAUUGUGCGUGAUGAUGUGGUGUCCGUUAAAAUUUCACUUACUUCGCCUCUAUUACGCGAAGCUUCACAGGAAGGCAAAAAUGAUGCUGCUAACAUUAACGGAGGAACAGGAGAUGUUGCACUACUGCCGCGCGAACCGUGUCUGAGGGCUUUAGCUGAAUUGCGCCACGCCAAAUGGUUCCAAGCACGCGCCACUGGCCUUCAAUCAUGUGUAAUGGUAAUACGCAUAUUGCGUGACCUUUGUCAACGCAUCCAAUCGUGGCAGGCAUUACCACAGUGGUCCCUAGAAUUGUUGGUUGAAAAAGUGAUCUCAUCAGCUGGUUUCCCAAUAUCUCCAGGUGAUUGUCUUCGUCGUAUAAUGGAGGCUUUGGCUUCUGGUUUUCUUAUUAACGGACCGGGACUCUUAGACCCAUGUGAAAAGGAAGCUCAAGAUGCUUUGCAUGACUUGACUAAGCAGCAGCGCGAAGAUCUAACCGUGUCAGCACAAUUGUUUUUGCGUUACAUUGCAUUCAGGCAAAUUUACAAAGUCCUUGGCAUGGAUCAGUUGCCGGCACUGAAAUUUCCAAUACGACCAUGGCGCUUAAACCGCAAACGACGCCGAUCCUCUGGUAAAGGUGGACCAGGGGGUGAAGCCGACGUGGCUGAAGGCGAAGAAAGCUGUACCGAAGAGAAAUUAUUUAAAAAAGAUAUCGCAACUUAAUUUCAUAAUGAUACAAAUACCGCGUUUGUAGUUUUAAAUUUCAAAUGAACGUCUCUCACAUAUUAAAAUAUAUAAAUGUUUAUUGGUGGAUACAUUGGGAACUGGUCCUCUUCAUCCACAAAAUAGUAAAAAAAUAAUCUGGAAAUUACUUAUAACAAACAUACCGUGUGCUUACACAUAAUUUUGAAUUAAAAAUGUAAACACUAUUGCAAUUAUGAUCAAUAAAUAAUGCCACAUAAUUA